rnacentral:rRNA from 1 species
AAAUUGAAGAGUUUGAUCAUGGCUCAGAUUGAACGCUGGCGGCAGGCCUAACACAUGCAAGUCGAGCGGUAGCACAGAGAGCUUGCUCUCGGGUGACGAGCGGCGGACGGGUGAGUAAUGUCUGGGAAACUGCCUGAUGGAGGGGAUAACUACUGGAAACGGUAGCUAAUACCGCAUAACGUCGCAAGACCAAAGUGGGGGACCUUCGGGCCUCAUGCCAUCAGAUGUGCCCAGAUGGGAUUAGCUAGUAGGUGGGGUAAUGGCUCACCUAGGCGACGAUCCCUAGCUGGUCUGAGAGGAUGACCAGCCACACUGGAACUGAGACACGGUCCAGACUCCUACGGGAGGCAGCAGUGGGGAAUAUUGCACAAUGGGCGCAAGCCUGAUGCAGCCAUGCCGCGUGUGUGAAGAAGGCCUUCGGGUUGUAAAGCACUUUCAGCGGGGAGGAAGGCGGUGAGGUUAAUAACCUCAUCGAUUGACGUUACCCGCAGAAGAAGCACCGGCUAACUCCGUGCCAGCAGCCGCGGUAAUACGGAGGGUGCAAGCGUUAAUCGGAAUUACUGGGCGUAAAGCGCACGCAGGCGGUCUGUCAAGUCGGAUGUGAAAUCCCCGGGCUCAACCUGGGAACUGCAUUCGAAACUGGCAGGCUAGAGUCUUGUAGAGGGGGUAGAAUUCCAGGUGUAGCGGUGAAAUGCGUAGAGAUCUGGAGGAAUACCGGUGGCGAAGGCGGCCCCUGGACAAAGACUGACGCUCAGGUGCGAAAGCGUGGGGAGCAAACAGGAUUAGAUACCCUGGUAGUCCACGCCGUAAACGAUGUCGAUUUGGAGGUUGUGCCCUUGAGGCGUGGCUUCCGGAGCUAACGCGUUAAAUCGACCGCCUGGGGAGUACGGCCGCAAGGUUAAAACUCAAAUGAAUUGACGGGGGCCCGCACAAGCGGUGGAGCAUGUGGUUUAAUUCGAUGCAACGCGAAGAACCUUACCUGGUCUUGACAUCCACAGAACUUAGCAGAGAUGCUUUGGUGCCUUCGGGAACUGUGAGACAGGUGCUGCAUGGCUGUCGUCAGCUCGUGUUGUGAAAUGUUGGGUUAAGUCCCGCAACGAGCGCAACCCUUAUCCUUUGUUGCCAGCGGUCCGGCCGGGAACUCAAAGGAGACUGCCAGUGAUAAACUGGAGGAAGGUGGGGAUGACGUCAAGUCAUCAUGGCCCUUACGACCAGGGCUACACACGUGCUACAAUGGCAUAUACAAAGAGAAGCGACCUCGCGAGAGCAAGCGGACCUCAUAAAGUAUGUCGUAGUCCGGAUUGGAGUCUGCAACUCGACUCCAUGAAGUCGGAAUCGCUAGUAAUCGUAGAUCAGAAUGCUACGGUGAAUACGUUCCCGGGCCUUGUACACACCGCCCGUCACACCAUGGGAGUGGGUUGCAAAAGAAGUAGGUAGCUUAACCUUCGGGAGGGCGCUUACCACUUUGUGAUUCAUGACUGGGGUGAAGUCGUAACAAGGUAACCGUAGGGGAACCUGCGGUUGGAUCACCUCCUUACCUUAAAGAA